rnacentral:pre_miRNA from 1 species
AAGAGAGCAUUCUUGGACAGUGUAUAAUAGCCAACUGUCAUGGAGUUGCUCUCUUUA